rnacentral:rRNA from 1 species
UCGAACGCGAAAGGGGCUUCGGCCCUGAGUAGAGUGGCGAACGGGUGAGUAACACGUGGGUGAUCUACCUCUGAGUGGGGGAUAACGUUCCGAAAGGAGCGCUAAUACCGCAUGACGUUCUGGGUUUGAAGACCUGGAAACCAAAGUCGGGGACCGCAAGGCCUGACGCUUGGAGAGGAGCCCGCGCCUGAUUAGCUAGUUGGUGAGGUAACGGCUCACCAAGGCGACGAUCAGUAGCCGGCCUGAGAGGGCGGACGGCCACACUGGGACUGAGACACGGCCCAGACUCCUACGGGAGGCAGCAGUGGGGAAUUGUUCGCAAUGGGCGCAAGCCUGACGACGCAACGCCGCGUGGAGGAUGAAGGUCUUCGGAUUGUAAACUCCUGUUGAUCGGGAAGAAUGGCGCUCGGCUUAAUACGCCGGGCGAAUGACGGUACCGAUUGAGGAAGCCACGGCUAACUCUGUGCCAGCAGCCGCGGUAAUACAGAGGUGGCAAGCGUUG